AACGUAGGAGACAAACGUUAUCCGGAGUUACUGGGCGUAAAGGGCGUGUAGGUGGUUCUGUAAGUCUGGCGUGAAAUUUCUCGGCUUAACCGAGGCAGGUCGUCGGAUACUGCAGGGCUAGAGUCCGGAAGAGGCGAGUGGAAUUCCUGGUGUAGCGGUGGAAUGCGCAGAUAUCAGGAGGAACACCAAUAGCGAAGGCAGCUCGCUGGGACGGUACUGACGCUAAGGCGCGAAAGCGUGGGGAGCGAACAGG
rnacentral:rRNA from 1 species